UAGUUUGCUAAUGCCGUCGAAGUACCAAAAUGGCCCAUGUGUAUAGUAGCCAUUGUUGCCAAGGCAGACGAGUAGCGGUGGUACUGCUGUUACUGAGCAUAGUUCUGCACUCUUUAUUUGGAAUGCGUUGCCGGCCGAGGUAAGCUUAGGCGAUUUCUUUCUCCUCUCGAUCCUCUGUCUUUCUUCUGUUGUUGUUGUUGUGUUUUUUUUUUUUGGCUAUGUUGGUGCAGAUCUGGCCAUUCAUCGAGCAGCAGUGGCGCCGUGUAUCCCGACUCCGCUUCCUCCUCCUCCUCCUCUAAAGAAAGGAAGAGGAAGAUUGACCUCGAGGCGGGUUGUUAGUCAUGAAGAGAUUAGCUUGUUGUCCUCGUGGCACAAAAGACUUCAGCCUUGAUUUCGAGGAGCAAGACAUUUCAAGCAAGAGGACGGAGGAUGGCGAUCUCUCUCUUCGUUUUCAAGUGACUAGGACUGCAGCAAAACAGUGAACCCAUGGGGGAGUGUAGGAUCGGGUGAAGGGAAUAUAGCAGUACUAGUCUGGUAAUUGUGCAGGCACACACGUCUUCUUUAGUACUCUGAUGCGUGCCCGGCGCGUAGCUCUUCUCGUGAAGCAAGUGUCCGGUGCCCCUAGCACCGGAGCCCCCCACGAUUAUUAUUAACAAGAAGAACCAAAGCAUGAAUGGCAGAAAGAAGGGAUCGCCCAUCGGAUCCCCUCUCGUUAUUGGAGAGUUGGAUAUCUCGACUGACCUCCAUAUAUCUAUAUAGGUAAUUGAUACCUGCAAUCUGGGCACAAGCACCAAGCCCUAUGUAUCUCGAGCCCCGAUUGGUUUGAAACUUGUGAGUUGAAAGCAAACUGACAUACCUUAUCUGGUAGAUCAUGAUCCGCAUUUCUAACCUCCUCGCCCCCAUGCUCGGUUCAGGUGUGAAUUUAAGCUGGUGUCGCAACCAAAGCUUUUGGCGGUGGGGGAGAGAUUCCUCCGCUUCUUGCGGGACAGUCGUUCACGUGGAUGAUGUCGUGAUGAAAGGAGCAUGUCCGCUACCAGUAUCAAUUCCAUAUCAGAAAGACUUUGCAG